GAUGAACGCUGGCGGCGUGCCUAAUACAUGCAAGUCGAGCGAACAGACGAGGAGCUUGCUCCUCUGACGUUAGCGGCGGACGGGUGAGUAACACGUGGAUAACCUACCUGUAAGACUGGGAUAACUUCGGGAAACCGGAGCUAAUACCGGAUAAUAUAUUGAACCGCAUGGUUCAAUAGUGAAAGACGGUUUUGCUGUCACUUAUAGAUGGAUCCGCGCCGCAUUAGCUAGUAGGUAAGGUAACGGCUUACCAAGGCAACGAUGCGUAGCCGACCUGAGAGGGUGAUCGGCCACACUGGAACUGAGACACGGUCCAGACUCCUACGGGAGGCAGCAGUAGGGAAUCUUCCGCAAUGGGCGAAAGCCUGACGGAGCAACGCCGCGUGAGUGAUGAAGGUCUUCGGAUCGUAAAACUCUGUUAUUAGGGAAGAACAAAUGUGUAAGUAACUAUGCACGUCUUGACGGUACCUAAUCAGAAAGCCACGGCUAACUACGUG
rnacentral:rRNA from 1 species